rnacentral:rRNA from 1 species
GCCUACGGGGGGCAGCAGUGGGGGAUAUUGCACAAUGGGGGGAACCCUGAUGCAGCGACGCCGCGUGAACGAAGAAAUAUUUCGGUAUGUAAAGUUCUAUCAGCAGGGGAGAAAAUGACAGUACCUGACCAAGAAGCCCCGGCUAACUACGUGCCAGCAGCCGCGGUAAUACGUAGGGAGCAAGCGUUAUCCGGAUUUAUUGGGUGUAAAGGGUGCGUAGACGGGAAAUUAAGUUAGUUGUGAAAUCCCUCGGCUUAACUGAGGAACUGCAACUAAAACUGAUUUUCUUGAGUACUGGAGAGGAA